CUCGGGAACGCCUCCGUCACGUGACAUUCGGCGCAUAUUCGGCGCCUUCUUCAAAUGGUGGUCAAUCGGGAAUUGCCUGGAGAAGAAUCCUGUCACAGUGCUCCACUGAAUGAUGGUGGAAGGGAUGGCCUUGUUGGACCUUGGAGUGUCCCCUUACUCUGGAGAUGUCUUUCAUGAGACGCCGCUCAUUGUAUAUCUUUUCCAUCUCCUUGUAGACUAUGAUAGUAUUCAUGAUAACGGAUGCCCUCACUGCUGUAACCCUGUACCUUGCUGUUCAGGAGUACAACAAAUUAAUGUUUAAGAAGCAAAAACUUUUAUUGGAGCUGAAAAAAUAUCCUCAGGAAGGACAUGAACUCCUAAGGGUACCAACUGAGAUGUACUAUGUACCUUUGAAGGUGUCUCUUUUCUACUUGUUGAAUCCAUACACCGUUCUGUCUUGUGUGGCCAAAUCCACGUGUGUAAUUAACAAUGCCGUGAUUGCUCUUUUCAUCCUGGCAACUGUUAAAGGUAGCCGGUUACUAACUGCUGUGUUUCUGUCGCUGGCAACCUAUCAGUCUCUGUAUCCAGUCACCUUAUUGUCAUCAGCGCUGCUCUACUUGCUUCAGAAGGAAUUUGUCCCAGUGAAGAUGAAGAGUACGGGCUUCUGGCUGUUCAGCUGCCAGUAUUGCUCUAUCUACCUGGGUUCUUUGUGUGUGCUGGUCUGUCAUUCUUUCUUCUUGCUCAACUCAUGGGAUUUUAUACCUUCUAUAUAUGGCUUUAUCUUUUUGAUGCGUGUAUGUACCAGCAGGUGCACUGAGCAUUCAGCCUUCAUACCAUGAUGAUGAAUGGUGGGAGAAUGCAAAGAAUAACUAUUAUAAACAAACUCUCCGGCCCAGUGUGAUAAUGCUUGUGGAGCAGCCAUACCUGCAGUAGGACUGGUGUCACUCACAGGUUGAUCCUGGAGCUCUACAUUGCGGUAUAAUCGAAGUUCCUAAAGGCUUCCGCAAUCUCCUUUUCCAUUGCCAAGGAACCCUCAGAGGGAGGAGUUAGAACUAGAUGUUGAUCUCCAUCCUCGCAAAGUCUAACAUCCUCAGGUAUGAAUGGGGGCUGCAUUCUUCUCUCUAGCAAAGCCAUCCAGUCAAUGCUCUGGUUAAUAGACAAUAUAAAAACAUUUAUUAUUAAUUGUUACUUAGCAUACUUACACUUUUAUUUUAUUUAAAAUAUGUUUGAUUAGCAUAUAAA